GAUCAAGUGUCAAAAGGGCAUUUGGUGGAUGCCUUGGCAUGCACAGGCGAUGAAGGACGUGAUACGCUGCGAUAAGCCGUGGGGAGCUGCGAAUAAGCUUUGAUCCAUGGAUCUCCGAAUGGGGGAACCCACCUUAAAUGCUUGGAAAAUUUAAGUCGUGCGCAAGUACGGCUUAGGUUUCCAAGCAUUGUUUAAAGGUAUCUUA
rnacentral:rRNA from 1 species